GGAAUAUUGGGCAAUGGGCGAGAGCCUGACCCAGCCAUGCCGCGUGCCGGAUGAAGGCCUUCUGGGUUGUAAACGGCUUUUCUCAGGGAAGAAAAAGACCAUGCGUGGUACACUGACGGUACCUGAGGAAUAAGCAACGGCUAACUCCGUGCCAGCAGCCGCGGUAAUACGGAGGGUGCAAGCGUUGUCCGGAUUUAUUGGGUUUAAAGGGUGCGUAGGCGGCCCGUUAAGUCCGGGGUGAAAGCCCACAGCUCAACUGUGGAACUGCCCUGGAUACUGGCGGGCUUGAGUCCAGACGAGGUUGGCGGAAUGGAAGGUGUAGCGGUGAAAUGCAUAGACACCUUCCAGAACCCCGAUUGCGUAGGCAGCUGACUAGGCUGGUACUGACGCUGUGGCACGAAAGCGUGGGGAGCGAA
rnacentral:rRNA from 1 species